rnacentral:rRNA from 1 species
UACGAAGGGUGCAAGCGUUACUCGGAAUUACUGGGCGUAAAGCGUGCGUAGGUGGUUUGUUAAGUCUGUUGUGAAAGCCCCGGGCUCAACCUGGGAAUGGCAAUGGAUACUGGCAAGCUAGAGUGCGGUAGAGGGUAGUGGAAUUCCCGGUGUAGCGGUGAAAUGCGUAGAGAUCGGGAGGAACACCAGUGGCGAAGGCGGCCCCCUGGUUGGAUACUGACGCUGAUACGCGAAAGCGUGGGGAGCAAACAGG